UUUUGUUUUAUUUUUUAAAGAUUUGAGAGAGUACACAGAGGAAGGGGAGGAGCGAGGGUGGGCGUGGUGAGCAGACUUUUUGCUAGGUGUGGAGCCUGAUGGGCUCUAUCUCAGGACCCUGAGAUCACAACCUAAGAAAACCAGAAUCUGAUGGAUGCUUAACCGACUGAGCCACCCAGGCACCCCUGCUUUAUUUUUGUUUUUUAUUUAAGUAAGCUCCAUGCCCAUUGUGGAGCCCAGCACAGGGCUUGAGCUCUAUGACCCUGGGAUCAAGACCUGAGCUGAGGUCAAGGAUUGGAUGCUUAACCUGACUGAGCCACCCAGGCAUCCCUAAAUAUUUGUUUUAUAAGAAGAGUUUGAUUUAAGUAUGAUUGAAUUAAACUACAUGUUUUAAAUAUAUAUUUUGAUGUUUUUUUUUUUUUUUUAAGAUUUUUAAUUUAUUUAUUCAUGAGACACAGAGGCAGAGGGAGAAGCAGGCUUCCCACUAGGAGCCCAAUGUGGGACUUGAUCCUGGGACUCUUGGACCACACUCCGAGCCAAAGGCAGAUGCUCAACCCCUGAGCCACCCAGGCAGCCCCUAUUUUGAUGUUUUCAUACAUGUGUACAUCCCUCAACCUAAGUUCCUCCUGCCCUUUCCAAUUCAUCUUUUUCAACGUAUAAAAUCAUUGAUAUAAGGAGAUAUUCAGGCUUUUGUAAUGGACUGUAAUGAAGUCCCAUUAGCUGUAUCACAAUCUUUCAUGAUUAAUCAUUUUCAUGGUGGUUCUGGUAUCCCCAUUCAUACUGGUGGGUUUUAUUUUAUUGUUAUUUUUAAAGAUUUUAUUCCUUAGAGAUACAGAAAGAGAGGCACAGAUAUAGGCAGAGGGAGAAGCCAGGGGAGCCUGAUGCAGGACUCAAUCCCAGGACCUCCAGAUCAUGACCUGAGCCAAAAGCAGAUGACACUUAACCACUGAGCCACACAGGUGCCGCUGGUGGGUUAUUUUACAUGCCAUCCUGGAUAUGUCAAUGCAUAACCUCUUAAGAAUUUUGAAAAUGUAAGGAAUCUCAUAACUGAUAACUUGUAUACACAAAAUAUUUUUAAAUAUAAAUGCUAAAUUUUAUUGAGUUAGCUACUGAUGGCAAAUUAAGUGCAAUCACAACAACAGUUAUAUGGCUUUUAUUACAUGUAUCCUUUAAGUAUUCACCUUACCCCUUUUAUUUUGUUCACUAAAAAAUUAGUUGUGUUAAUAUUUUUAGUUUAAUAUUUCUUCUGUAAUUUAAAAUCCUGAGUUGCCCUUGAGUAAUGCAGAUGUCUCUGUACAGUACAAACGUGUAUCAACUAUACCUCCUGAUUGAUACUUAGACUUCUCUACCUUCCAUUUGUCAAAACAUUCAUGUUUCAAAGUUAUUUCAGAAGUUUACAAAUCCCAGUUUCUCUGCAUUUUUAAAAUUUUUAAACUUUCUUAAUGCAAAGCUGAAAUCCCCAAAUCAAAAUCUUCCCUUGUCAGUGUACACAUAUAGCAAAUCAAUCAUUUUAAAUAUAUUAGUUACAUUUGCCAGUUAUACUUUAAUACACAUAAAAGAAAAAUAAAAGACUGAAAUCAUGCAAAAGCCUUAAUCUGAUCUAACAUUGAGAAACAGAGCAAUGGAAGAGGAUCUUUUAAUCAUCACACAGAGCAAAAAUACAGAGUAUAAUUACUAGUUUCUUUUCUUCUGAAGACAGUACACUUUGUGUUCGGAGAAAUAAAAAGUUAAUUGUUGUGAGUUGCUUGGGAAGAUUGAUUAAUAAGUGUCUGGUCAAGGGUCCCCUACCAGGGACCAUCCGUCACACAUUAAUCUUACCAGCUCAUUUAAGUAUCCAAAAAAAA
rnacentral:lncRNA from 1 species